ensembl:lncRNA
GUGCUUUGGCAAAGUGGGUGGGGUUUAUAUCCUGCCUAUAUUCCUGUUUGGCCCUGUCUGGGUCUGUGGUAUCACCGGAUGGGGCCACAGUGUCUCCUGACCCCUCCUGUCUCAGCCUCCAGUACUUACGCUGUAGUAGUUUGUGUCGGGGGGCUAGGGUCAGUCAUAUCUGGAGAACUUCUCCUGUCUUAUCCGGUGUGAAUUUACGUAUGCUCUCUCUAAUUCUCUCUUUCGGAGGACCUGUGCCCUAGGACCAUGCCUCAGGACUACCUGGCAUGAUGACUCCUUGCUGUCCCCAGUCCACCUGGCCGUGCUGCUGGUCCAGUUUCAACUGUUCUGCCUGUGGCUAUGGAGCCCUGACCUGUUCACCGGACAUGCUACCUGUCCCAGACCUGCUGUUUUCAACUCUCUAGAGACAGCAGGAGCGGUAGAGAUACUCUCAAUGAUCAGCUAUGAAAAGCCAAUUGACAUUUACUCCUGAGGUGCUGACCUGUUGCACCCUCGACAACUACUGUGAUUAUUAUUAUUUGACCAUGUUGGCCAUUCAUGAACAUCUUGGCCAUGUUCUGUUAUAAUCUCCACCCGGCACAGCCAGAAGAGGACCGGCCACCCCUCAUAGCCUGGUUCCUCUCUAGGUUUCUUCCUUGGUUUUGGCCUUUCUAGGGAGCUUUUCCUAGCCACCGUGCUUCUACACCUGCAUUGCUUUCUGUUUGGAGUUUUAGGCUGGUUUUCUGUACAGCACUUUGAGAUAUCAGGUGAUAUCAGUAAGAAGGGCUUUAUAAAUACAUUAGAUUUGAAUAAAAAGGCAUAUUUGAUGGGCGCAGGAUUAUGCUCCAGCCAAGCAGUAGUAAUACCUGGAUGAAACUAAACUACACCCAGGUAUAUAAGUCCCUCCCAUCCAAUCAUGUGACAAACACAUCUAAAACAGACACAUGGGAGACAGGAUCCAUGUUUAAUCAAGUCAUCAUUUGAAACGAGCAUCUGUCUGAGCAUGUCCCCGUUCAACAUAACACAAAUGGAUGUCAAGAGGUGGGCAUUACAGCAUCAACAGUCAUUAUUCAUGCCAGAUAGAUACACCCAACUGGCCGAACCGGCCAACAUAAGGCCAGUCAUUAUUCAUGCCAGAUAGACACACCCAACUGGCAGAACCGGCCAACAUAAGGCCAGUCAUUAUUCAUGCCAGAUAGAUACACCCAACUGGCAGAACCGGCCAACAUAAGGCCAGUCAUUAUUCAUGCCAGAUAGACACACCCAACUGGCAGAACCGGCCAACAUAAGGCCAGUCAUUAUUCAUGCCAGAUAGACACACCCAACUGGCAGAACCGGCCAACAUAAGGCCAGUC